UACGUAGGGCGCAAGCGUUGUCCGGAAUUAUUGGGCGUAAAGAGCUCGUAGGCGGCCUGUUGCGUCCGCUGUGAAAUCCCGGGGCUCAACCCCGGGCCUGCAGUGGAUACGGGCUGGCUGGAGGCAGGCAGGGGAGAACGGAAUUCCUGGUGUAGCGGUGAAAUGCGCAGAUAUCAGGAGGAACACCGGUGGCGAAGGCGGUUCUCUGGGCCUGUUCUGACGCUGGAGGAGCGAAAGCGUGGGGAGCGAACAGG
rnacentral:rRNA from 1 species